GGAUGGGUGGCUGAGUGGACUAAAGCAGCGGUCUUGAAAACCGCCGUGCGGCAACGUACCGUGGGUUCGAAUCCCACCCCAUCUGCCA
rnacentral:tRNA from 1 species